CAGAGUUGCAAGACUCCCUAAACCAUUGUGAACCUACCUUCUACCGUUGCUUCGGCGGGCGGGCCCAGCGCCCCCCCGGCCCCCCGCGGGCGCCCGCCGGAGGAUACCCGAACUCUUGACAUUAGUGGCCUCUCUGAGUAUUCUUUACUGAAUAAGUCA
rnacentral:misc_RNA from 1 species